rnacentral:rRNA from 1 species
AUUGAACGCUGGCGGCAGGCCUAACACAUGCAAGUCGAACGAGUGGCGGACGGGUGAGUAAUGUCUGGGAAACUGCCUGAGGGAGGGGGUUAACUACUGGACACGGUAGCUACUACCGCAUACCAUCAGAUGUGCCCAGAUGUGAUUAGCUAGUGGGUGGGGUAACGGCUCACCACGGCGACGAUGCCUAGCUGGUCUGAGAGGAUGACCAGUCACACUGGAACUGAGACACGGUCCAGACUCCUACGGGAGGCAGCAGUGGGGAAUAUUGCACAAUGGGCGCAAGCCUGAUGCAGCCAUGCCGCGUGUAUGAAGAAGGCCUUCGGGUUGUAAAGUACUUUCAGCGGGGAGGCGUUACCCGCAGAAGAAGCACCGGCUAACUCCGUGCCAGCCGCCGCGGUAAUUC